UUUCUUCUUCUUUCUUCUCUUUCUUUCUUCCAUGUUCUUCAUAUGUUGGUGAUUUUAGAAAUUGAAAUCGAGACUUUUGAGAUCGAACGAGGUAGGGAAUGGUCAAGGGUUAUCUGAUAGGGGUGGUGAUGAUACGACUAUCGUAUUCAGAGUUCACGGAAAAGGUAAAUCGGAGAUUUACUUUAGGGUUUCGAUUUAUUGAAAUUGUUCUGUGAAUGUGUUAUGUUUUGAUAGAUUAUAGGUGGUUUUUGAUCUUAAUUGUGCUGGAGAUGAUUGCAUAGAGUUUAAUUUUAGUUUUUCAGUUAACUGAAUUAGAAAUUAGGGUUUAUAAGAUUGAGUUGUUGAUGUGGAAUCUUAGAUGAAGGAGAUGAAUUAAUCAGUGGUGAUUCGAGGAAGACUUGAGGUUGUUAAAUCUAGGGUUGUAUACUGAUUUGGCGUUAAUAAUUUAGACUAUUGCAGAAGACAAAUUAAAAUUGGGGAUUUCAGUGGAGUUCUGAAAUUGUGGAAGAACAAAGGAAUUCAGGGAAUGGGUGUUGAUCAAAUUCAAGUUGCAGGUAAAGGACAUGAAUGAUUUGUUGGUGUUCUAUGUGCAGAAAUGAAAUUGGUGAUCGAUAUUUAGGUGUUGAUGAAUUUACUAUGUUGGUUGGUGGUAGUGAUGCUGCAGGGAGUCUUGAGAAGUAAAUGAUGAGAUUAAUGUGCAUUGUUAGAGUGAUGAAUGAAUCAAAAUCCAGAAGAUGGUGGCUGUUUUUAUCAACAUGGGCUCAAUGGCCGUGAACCAUGUUUGAGGAAAUGCUUGAGUGCUAGCUUAAGCUGUUAUUGUUGUGAAGCUUGGGUAUGUGUUAUUGUUGUUAUUGUUGUGAACCAUGUUUUAAAGUUGUGUGUAUGUUGUUGGUUCGAUAUUUAAUGAUAUGUUGUGGAGAUGGUGAGCAGCAGUAUGGAGGAUAAAUGAAGUUGAAUCAGUUGUUUGGACAUGGAUUUGAUGGUGGGGAAACUGGUGGUAGUAUGCAAAAGAUAUAACAAUGGAGUAAUGGGCUGCUAACUUUUAGGUUGCUUUCUAUGAAUUAUUUUACAGUGAAUUGGCUGAACUUGGUUACACUUACAGAGAUCAUCUUUUCGCUGCUAUUGACCCAAUACCCGCUAUUGCUUUCCCUCCAGUAGCAACGACACAAUGGCAAGAGCAGAUAAAGCGUCUCGAACUCCUUUUGACAGUAAAAGAAUCUGCACUUAAUGUUCCAACUAACCUUGAAGCACGCAGAAGGAUUGCGUUCUUUACAAAUUCUUUGUUUAUGGAGAUGCCACGAGCUCCCUCAGUUCGUAAAAUGUGGUCAUUCAGGUUUGAAUUGUAUUGCUAUUGACACAAUUAGCUUCAGUAAUAUUUCUGUAGUCACUUUUCCUAGGUUUGAAUUGUAUUUCUAUUGACACAGUUAGCUUCAGACAUAUUUCUGUAGUCACAUUUCCUUUUCGGUAUAUCACAUCACAUUAUAGGCUUUAUACAAGGGGUAUAUCAACUGUUGGUUUUCUUACAAUCAUUGUUUCAUUGGUGCAGAUAGAAAUUUAUAGAAUUUCUACAUUUUAUUUUGUUGUUCCUUGGUAGAUAGUUAGCAACCUAGUUCUUCGCUAACUUAGUUAUGUUUGUAAGCUUAUAGCUGAACGGGAAGGAUGUAUUCUUUUCAAACAACAUUUAUGAGGGGUUUCCGACUUCUCUAAUAAUAUUCUCAUGUUUAUUCCUAUUUUGAAAUUAUGGUGUCAGUGUUAUGACUCCUUAUUAUAGCGAGGAGACUGUGUACUCUAAAAGCGACCUUGAGUUGGAGAAUGAAGAUGGUGUAUCCAUUAUCUUUUACUUGCAAAAAUUCUUCCCAUAUGAAUGGAACAACUUUAUCAUUCAUACCACCACCCAUUUUUCAGAUCUGAAAAUGAAGAGAAGCAGAAGUACGUGGUUGUGGAGAUGUUCAUUUAUGAUUUAUGGAGAAGAAGAUUAGAGUGCCACGUAAGCAGUGCCACGUAAGCAGUGCUACGUAAGCAGAGCCACAUGGGUCUUGCCACGUAACCUGUGCCACUACGCAAUGGGUGGUGACGUAUAAAGAGUCAAAGUAGCUGGUUGGGUCGAAAUAACCGAUUCAAAGGACUAUCUUGUCAUUUUAAGUGCACUUAACGGUGCUAACUUUCCAUCCAUCACUUUUGGUCAAAACUUGCCUAGUCUAGCAAUAAAUAAAAAAAUUGGCCUUCAUUUGAAAAGCACCAAAAAAACAGGCCUAUUUCUGUGA